AUUAUAUUUUAUAUUUUUAUUUAAAAUAAAAUUUAAUUUUUAACCUUAAUUUUUAACUAAAAUAUAAAUUAAAAUUAAAGAAUAAUUUUUUUAUUCUAGAUUUUCAUUUAGAAAUUAAUUUAAAUUUAAGCUCAAUCAAGCAUUUUGAAUUUGAUUAUAUUUAAUUGUAACUUUGAAUCUGAAUCAAAUCAAAAAUUAGUUUUAUAUUUUGAAUUGUCCACUCAAUUUUAAUUUUUUUUUUUUAAGUUACAUUUAAAAUUUUGACUUAUCAUUUCAACAUUUUGAUGUAAUUUUUUAAUAUUUAAUUUUUAGUUUGAAUUUAAAUUAUAAAUUUAAUUUUAUGUUUUGAGGUGGAAAACUCAAUUUUAAAUAAUUUUUAUACUUUAUAUUUAAAUUUUAAUUUUAUUUUAAUUAUUUUUUUAUAAUCAAGUUUUUAAAAUAUGACAGUAGGAAUCAAUCAUACCAAUUCCGAUUGUUAUUCUGAGCCAAACAUAUUGAGAGAUUUGGCAUUUGAAAGUUGAUUUGGGCAAGCACUGUAUAGGAGUCAUGUUUUAUUAGAUUGAUUUGACAGAUAACACAGUAUAAAAAAGAACUAGUAAUAGACCCGCGUAGACCUCGCAAUCUCAAUUCGUAUCCAUGGGUAUCCACAGGUUACCCGCAAAUUUGCAGGUAUAGAUAUUAUUUUUUCUAUCCAAAAAAUUAUAGAUAAAAUGGAUGGGAACCCAUUAAUUUGUAGACAUUUUGAGUAACCCGCGGAUACCUGCGGAUACCCAUAUAUAUAGUAUUAUAUAUAUAUAGAGUGGAGGAGAGGAGUGAGAGGACGAGAUGAGAAGAAGGAGAGUAGAGAGAUGAGAUGAGAGAGAGAGAGAGAGAGUAGAGCUACUGUGCUAUUAGGAGCACAGCAGUCCUUGUGCUCCUAACUUUCUAAUCACCUAUCAAGUUUGAUGAGUGGUUAGAAUGAGAGAGAAAAGAUAUAUUGGGGAGAAAUUUAGUGUCCUAUCGAUAGUAUAGUAGCCGGACUAUAUAUAUAUAUAUAUAUAUAUAUAUAUAGAGUUCGGCUACUAUACUAUUGAUAGUAUCAAGUUCUUGAUACUAUUGAGUUUUCUACCAUUAGAUCUACCUUUUGAUUAUUUUCACCCGUUCGAUUAUACUAUUAAACCAACCACCCACUCAACCCUAGGGGACCACUAUCAUCCUAACCGUACAUCCUUUCAUCCAACGGCCGAAAACUCAAUAGUACCAGGGGCUUGGUACUAUUGAUAGUAUAGUAGCAUAAUUAUAUAUGAGUAAAGCUACUGUCCUUUUAAGAGUAUAACAGCCUUGGUCCUCCCAAUUUUAUAGCCAUUGAUCUUGCUUUGAGAUCCGGUCCCGCUGGCAUGGGUUUGUGCGGAGUUAACGGAGCACGUCCGUUAACGGAGAGGGGUAAAUAGCGAAGCUAAGCCAAAAAAAAAAAUAUCCAUCGCCCAUCUAUACUCACAGCAAAAAGUAGGGUUUCUAAAGCCUAUCCUCCAUUCUUUGCUCAUUUCCCUCUUCUUCCUCUCCAAAAAAAAAAAAUCCAUCGCCCAUCUAUGCUCACAGCAAAAAGUAGGGUUUCUAAAGCCUAUCCUCCAUUUUUUGCUCAUUUCCCUCUUCUUCCUCUCCCGGUUUUCCUCUUCCGUCGCGACCAACUUCGCUACUCGGAUUCGGUGCUCAGACGUGCUCUGAAGCCUCUUUCUCCUACGCCUUCGCUCGGAUCAAACAUUCAAAUUGGUGAGCUUUCUUUGUUUUUCGAUUUCUAUGGAACUUCUUUCAUGGUAGAUCUACUUAGCUUGAUUUCAAUCAAGAAGCAUUCUUCCCUCUCCUUUUGCUGAGAAAAUCAAGAUAUUAUUUGUCAAGAGGAAAAUCAAGUUUAUUAAUUUGUAUUUGUUUCUUAUGAAUUCUUUGAUAAUCAUUUCAUUUUGUGAAUAUCAAAAUUUGUUUUCCUGUUUUCUUCCCUUCGUGCUUUCACUAAUUCUUUACACCCAAAACUGAGCAAAAAUUUCUGUUACCAUUUCAUAGCAAAGAUGUUGUAGUAUAACUCUUUGCAUAUUUCUUUUUAUAGGUNNNNNNNNNNNNNNNNNNNNNNNNNNNNNNNNNNNNNNNNNNNNNNNNNNNNNNNNNNNNNNNNNNNNNNNNNNNNNNNNNNNNNNNNNNNNNNNNNNNNUCAAAUUUAGAUUUACAAAAAAUAUCUUGAAAUACCUAUUAGUAUUUCUACUAUUAAUAAGAAAUAAAGGGUAAAAAUGGUAUUUUGAAAAUUUAACUCCUUUUCAGAUGGGAUUUAACGGAUUUUAACUAAUGAGGGGUAUUUAUGAUAAUUUUAAACAUAUUGGAGGGUAUUUGUGAUAUUAUUAAUUUUAGAAGGGUAUUGGUGAAAUUAAUAGUUUCUAGAAGGGCAUCUAUGAAAUUAUUCCUAUUUUUUACUACUACUUACCACUCCAUUCGAAAAUCAAAGGAAGGGUUUUUCAUCUCUUCCUCCAUCUCUCACUCAAUAUUCUUAGCGGAUCGGGACGGAUUGAGAGCAAAUUAUUAUUUUUCUUUAAUUUUAGCCCUCACCGUCGGAAGCUCCACCGAUCUGGAUCCAAUCUCAUCCUACUCAUAUGAACCUCCAUACGUACUCUUUUACCCUAAAAGUAGUGUGCUAAAUACUGCAUCAAGAUUAGCAUAUAUGGAGGGAAAAGAGAGGAAAAAAAGAAAGAAAGAAAAAGUCACACAAAUUGAAUUCCAGCCACACGUGUUAAGAAAGAUAAUGCGGAAUCAAAAUAAAUUUUAUUUCUCAAAAACUUUUUAUGCAGAAGGCCUUAUCUUAUUUAUAUAAAAUAAGUCUUAAUUUCACUCCUUAAAUCCCUCGAUUUUAAGAAUUUUUCUAAUGCAAGCACCAAAAAUUAAAACAAAAUAGAAAAAAAUUCGAAUACUUCAUGGAAACAAGUUAGUAUCAAUUCCCUCUUCGGUAUUACCAUGCACUUUGAUAAGAUAAGGCUACAAAUAUUUACAGACUCCAUAUUGGAGCCAGAGUCAAAGAGUUGGAGUACCAUAAUUUCUUUUAUUCAUUUGACAUGCAAAAAUAAAAAAAAAAGGAAAAAAAAAAAUCUAAUUCCAACCUCAGGACGAAAAGAAAUCUAGUGGGAAGAAAUAAGAAUAAAUAUAAAUGUUUGGAGAUGAUAAAUUUGAUGACGAGAAGAAUUAGAUAGGCUAAACUGCACUAUUAGUUCUCAAACUAUCAACUGUGUGACAUUUUGGUGCUCGAACUUUAAAUUGUAGAAAUUUUUUUGUUCAAACAUCCUAGAAUGUCGCAACCAAAUACUUCAAUACAAUUUAAUUUACUAAAUAAUAAUGUCUCGUUGAUGUGACGGUGAUACAGUAUUAUUAUAGUUGAUGAAAUAUAUGAAUAAUUAAGAUGUAUCAUGUAACAUUAUCAUCACGCUAGCGACACAUUAUUAUUCGACCAACAGAAGUACAGUCACUAUAGCACUCGAUUGCAGCUAAAUAGAAAUUAGGUACCAAAAAUUAUAACAAAUUCAAAUUUGAGGACCAAAAUGUCACAGGUUGCAUAGUUUGAGGACCGAAAGUGCAAUGUAGCCAAUGAGAUAAUAUUUGGAUUAAUUAGAGUAUUAGUAGUGCGUGGAUGCAACAAGAAUAAAAACAAUAUCAAAAUAAAGAUAUUGACAAAUAUUCUGGAAAUUCAAUGUGUACAGUACACACAUAAAAAUUGAAUCCAAAAGUUUUGUUUUUCGACAUCCAAUGCAUAUACUACAUAUUUUUGACAUAACAAAUAUCGCAAAUCGCAAAUUGAAAUCCUUCCAUGUAAUGGUUGAAUAAUAAUAAUGAGAAAAUAAUAUGCAAAACUUACCUGAACUAAGGACUAUUUUGAGUCGGCUAUCCAACCUUUCUAAAAUUUUAAUUUUAUUAUCCAAUCUUUCAAUUUGUAUGAUUUGAAUCAGUCAAAAACAUUUUGAGCUCAAAGUUUAAGCCGAUUACUUACUUUAAUUAAUUUAUAGUUGCGAGAAUUGCAUUAACUAUACUAACUAAAACUGUAAAGAUAAACGUUAUAUUCAAAUUUUGAAAUCAAAGUGUCGUUGACUGAUUCAAAUCAAACAAAUUGAAAGGAUGGACAGCCAAUUCAAACCGUCCAUACUUCAGUUAAAGUUCUAUACAAUGCGCUUCGCCAAUAGACAUUGGGGAUAUGCUGAACCUUGCUCCGGUCACUUGUUUCGAGCCUCCUAAUGAACUCCUGUGGCAUAUCGAUGAGAUACAUUGCCUGCAGCGACUGCAGGUACACGACACCCGCCGGUGUAGCUGUCAAGCUUGACAGGCCGAUAAGCUGCAGCUGGUACAAGCUUUUCAUGGCUCCGUCUUCGAUAUCAAUAACACUCACUUGCGCCAUGUCAGCUAAAAACAGGUUUUUCAGCCUAGGAAACCAGCCGGCGCGAAAGCUCAACCGCUGCCCCUCGUAGACCCGGUAGAGAUGGAGGUCUACGAGGCUCGACAUGUGCGAGAAGGAAUGCAAUGGAUCUGUCUGCAGCCCUGACCAGGCUAGUCGCAGGUCUCGGAGCCUUCCGAAGUUGGCGAACACGGUCGGAGCCUCGUCCUCGUCCAGCCUACCUUUCAAGUAGAGCUUCUGCAGGCUCGGCAGCGGGUGCACGCCGUCCAGACAAAGCAAUUCAUCUUUGUCACUUGCGACGACGCCCAACGCGACGAGCCCGGGCAUCAUUUUCAGGGAGGCCCACAACUCCGUGCAGUAGGCGCCUCGCACUUUCAUGACAAAAAGAUUACGUAGUGACGUUAAGCUUCCGAUAUUCUGCAUCAAGAACUUGUCGGCUUCGAUGUUGAGCAGCGUCUGCAGGCCUUCCAGGCGGCAGAUGUCGUGCGGGACCGACACCGCACUGAAGGAGUCGAAAGUUCUGCAAUUGUAGUCGUAGAAGCAGACCACGAACAGGUGCCGCAGCUUCGUCAGCGUCACGACUUCACGCGGCAGUUUCUCCACGCGGGUCAUGCUCAGGUCGAGUGUCUGCAGGUUCUGGAGCUUCCCCAGCGACUUCGGGAUGCUCUUCACCUUCGUGCAUCGUAAGUCCAGAUAAUGCAGGUUGAACAAAUUGAACACCGCGUCUGGGAUCUGCUCCAUCUUGGCGUGUCGCAAGCAGAGCACCCUCAGUAACUUGAAACUAGAUGAAGCGUUUUCGAUACUAGACGACGGCAGUUCUUCAUCGAACAAAAUAAACGAGCGAAGCUGUCGUAGAUUUGCAUUUGGUUGUGAGGUCAAUCCGCCUUUAUGAACGGACACGCGACGAGCCUGUUCCCUCAACAUCGUUGGCCCUGGACCGUUGCACACGAUUCCGAAUUUUUCCUCUCUCGACCUGGUCAGAGUUAUUUCCCUCACGAGAUCGUGGAUUUGAAGCAUUUUUGCUCUUCCAAAGUCGUUCCGUUCCACAACCUGUAGCAUCGAUCGAUGAACGAGUUCCUUCACGUAGCCGUCGGCCACUUCCUCCAUUGUCGUCUCCGGCCCCCUUUCUUCGAUGAAUCCUUCGGCCGUCCACAGCCUGAUCAACCAUUUCCGCCUUAUCAGAUAAUCCUCCGGGAAUAGGCUGCAGUACAGAAAACAGUUCUUCAGAUAGCCCGGCAGGUCGUUGAAGCUGAGAUUUAGAAUGCUCGCCACCCAAUUCAGCUCCGGAUUGUUCGUCAGCUGCCAGCUAAGCUGAUCGUAGAACGACUUCCACUCCUGCUCCUGCUGCUCUCUGUAGGAUAACAGACUGCCGAUCGCCACGACAGCGAGCGGCAACCCUCGGCACUUGUCCACAAUCUUUUCAGCCCAGUCCUUAAGAUGCUGCGGGCAGCGUUUCUCCGCGAGCCUCGAGAACGCUUUCUUGCAGAACAGAUCCCACGCUUCCUCCUUCGGCAAAGUGCUAAGCCGUAAGCGGCGAUUCUCGUCUGCCAACAAAGCCACAUCUUCCGUCCGCGUCGUGAUGAUCACUCUGCUCCCGAAAUUGUUUCUCACGAACGCGCAAUCCAACAAAGACCAGGCGGCUCUGCUCCAAACAUCAUCUAAGACGAUCAAGUACCUUUUUUCCCGCAGAUAGAUUUGAACCUUCUCCGCUAGUUCAAUCCGGUCCAUAGUGUCGAUGCCAUUUAGAAUCUCCUCGUUUUUGCCCGUGUUGUGUGUUAAGAUCCUUCGCAGUAGAUCUUCGACUCGAUAGCUUUGCGAGACGGAGAUCCAUACGCUCCAGUUGAAGUGGCGUUUAACUGUUGGAUUCUUGAAAAUGUUGUUCGCCAGCGUUGUUUUACCCAACCCUCCCAUGCCCGAAAUGGAAAUGACGGCGCGAGCUUCCUUCCCGUCGGUCAGCCAUUCAAUCAAUUUUUUGGUUUCUUCAUCAUUCCCCACGAUCUCGUCUUCGUGGCUCAAGUACGGAAUAUCGAAGGCUCGACGCUGCCUAAGAGCAGCGAAAUCCGACGCGGUUUCUCUCACCGAAAUGCCGUACCGGUCUCUCAUGGUUGUGAGCUUCACUAGACGAGUCUCCACCUGUUUGAGCUGAUCGGCGAUACCGUGCCAUGCAGCGAUGUUUUUCAAAUGACGACACUUUUUCUUCAGGGAAUUCCUGAAGCCGCUGACGUUUUCUUCCCCGACGAGAUAAGUGUACUCGUCGAUGAUAUCCUCGACUUCGAAUGCAACGUUCUUGACUUGCUCCAGCCACGCCACCAAGGGUUUGUUAGGAGAAUCGUGUGCGUUGACUUGACUUAUAUAGGCUUGCAUCACCGCAAACUCGCUCUCGAUUUGUUUCAUGCUGUUCUUGAUUGCUAGCAAGGCCGACACUUCUUUGACUAAUUCACUGCUUAUUGUAUCCAGUGCCUUCCCUGCCAACGAAGCUGCAAUCUUGUUGAGUACAUGAAACACCGCAGCUCCGGCCAUGCUGCCUCGCUCUUCUGUUGCGAUGUUAUAUUGUUAUAGUCGCAAUCCAAUCCUGAAGUUAUUUAACCAGUAAUAGUAGUUAGGAUAAAGGAGCAGGAUGAGAAAUAUGUAGCUGAUAUCAAAAUAUCUGUCGAAUAUAAUUGUUAAGAACCUCGUUCUCUAGCUAGCAUAUCUGUCGAAUAUAAUUGUUAAGAACCUUGUUCUCUAGCUAGCAGUUUAAACUUUUAGAGAAUAAAGACUGUUCUGUUAUAUUUAACAUGGUAUCAGAAUAGGAGAUCUUGAGUUUAAAUCAUACCAGCUUUCUAGCAUUAUUAAUUAAUUCCCUCGUUAAGAACAUAAGCCAAUUACCAAUCUGAAGUGUGAGAUGAGUUUCGACUGAGCACUGACAGAGAUGAGUCUCGACUGAGUCAGAAUCUAAAUGUCAGGGUGGGUGCUCGAGCCUCACGGAAAUGUUAGAGCAUAAGGGGGGAGGAAUGUGACAAGGGUGCUCGAGCCUAACGGAUAUGUCAGGGCGGGUGCUUGAGCCUGACGAGAAUGUCGGGAUUUAAAAGAGAGAAGAAUGUGACACCACCGGGAUUUAGAAUAGUCCUAUAUAUAAGAUAAAAUAGGGCUAAAUCUAUCAACAUAACUAUAGCAUUUUGGGCGGCAGAAGUUUUGAGUUCGAGUCCCGUCAGCCUCUCAACAUUAUUAAUUUUUUUCUUAAGAACAUCGUAUUAUUGCAGCUUAAACUUUUAGAGAAUAAUGGUUGUUCGUAUAUCUAACAACAUCAAACAUUGUAAUUCACAAAAAAGAGAAAGAAAAAAUAUAUACUUUCACAUGAGGUUAGGCUUGAUUGCUUCUUUCCACAAGUGACAGAUUGUUUGCGACAAGGAACAAAAAGAAAGCACUAAUUUCUUCUUGCUUCUAUGUCCUUUUUUUUUUUGUCUAAACAAUAAUUAGACGACGCUAUUUGGCAUCUGAUCAGAGCAUUGCACGCUAACCAACAAUAACAAAGAAUACAAAAACCAGCUGCAGGCACAUUUGGUCACAUAGAAGCCAAGUUUAAAAACAAAGAAAGAAAAUCUAAGUUCAUCCAACCAAGGCCAAAAUAUUAUCUUUUCAUGUUCAAUAAAGAAAAAAAACAAACAAACAAAUAUAUAUCCAACAAAUCUGCUCAUAAAGCUAGUGUAUUAAUUACCAGAACAUCAAUUAUUUCAUACGAUUAUGAGUUUGGAGUAUGUAAAGUUAGACUUUGUGCGCAAAGUCGCAAACAUGCCUAUAUUGAAGAUCUCUAUAGCCAUUAAAAUUCAUAAAAAUUUUUAUUUAAUAACAAUAACAAAUCAAAUGAAAACAAAUAACAAUAAAAAAAAAUGCAGGUAAAAAGAAAAGGUCAGGGGAAAUUUUCCUAAUGCGGAGUCAUUAUAAAUUCUCAUCACUAAUAAAUAACAGCCAAAUCAACCACAAAUAAAAGGAAACAUAAAUUACAUUUAAUUUUUAGAGAAAACUAAUCCAAAAACCCAUUUAUAUUAAACCCGAAGCGAGAGAGAUGAGCCCCUAAUUUAAACAAUAGAGCCAAGGGCUUAAACCCUCGACCUAAACUAUAGACCAUUUUGAUUCGACUACCUUAUCUUUCAAAAUUUUAAUUUUAUCACUCAAUCUUUCGAUUUGUCUAAUUUAAGUCAUACGAUGGCUCUUCCAAUAUAAAAUUUAAGCUAAUUGCUUACUUUAAUAAAUUUACAGUUAUAUGAAUUGCAUAAAACGUAUUAAUUAAUCUAUAAACAUAAUCGAUGCACUCAAAAUUUAAAGUUAAAGAGUAAUUAACUAGCUCAAAUCAAAUAACUUAAAAGAUUAGGGAGCAAAAUCAAGAUUAUUAAAGAUUAUCUAGCCAGAUCAAAAUCGGUGAUAGUUAAGGUAAGUUCUAUACAUUUUUACUGAAAAAUUAAUAAAUUCUUUUCAAUUUUAACUAAGGGGCUGUUCCACGUAAAACUGCGAAAAAAAAUUUUUGGUGGACAAAAAAUUUUCGGAGGAAAAUAACUUUUACGCUCUUUAGCGUUUGGUUUGCAGGAAAAAAAAAUAAUUCUCCGUUACGGUUGUUUGGUUGAAAGGAAAAAAUAGAAAAAGAAAGAAAAAAUUAUAAAUAAAAAAUUAUUAUAUAUAUAUAUAUAUUUUUAUUUUAUAUAUUAUAUAUUAUUAAUAUAUAAUAAUUAUCAUAUUAUUUAUAUUAAUAUUAUAAUUUAUAUUUAUAAAUAAAAUAUAUUUAAAAUAUAUUAUACNUCCAUCCUCUCCUCAUGCGGUCCACGACAUGGAGCGGAUCUUGUGGACCGCGUGAUUUACAUCCCCCGCGCGGCGUGCCCAACGCCGCGCUUUUCGUUUUCGCUCGAUUCGAGCGGAAAACGAAAACUCCCAUUUUACGCCGAAUCUGUAAAAAAAAUUUUCCGGGAAAAUUUUUUUACAAGCAAUCAAACGCUAUAUUUUAACUUUUCAACCGAAAAAAAAUUUUCGGGAUGGUUUUACAACGAUCUAUGAAUUUGCAAAAACAAGAAAAAAAAAGAGUACAGAAAGAUGCAAAAAAAGAUUUUACAAGCAAUCUAUGAAUUUCUCACACUGCUUAUACUCGACUACAGGAAGUAAGAAGAAGAUUACCUAAAGUUGAUCCCAGAGUGUGGAAGCUGCACUGAAGAGAGAAAAUUAAAGCAUGUGUAACUACUGCCCAAAUGUGAGUAUUAUUUUAUGAAACGAAUGCAUGAACAAAAAUCUAAUGCAUUUUUAUAGCCAUGGAGGUAGGGGUGUAAAUGAGCCGAACACGAGCGAGCUGGGUCGGCUCGUGUUCGGCUCGUUUAAUAAACGAGCCGAACACGAGCUGACUCGUCGUUAAAGUAUCGAGCCAAAAAAUUUAGCUCGUGUUCUGCUCGUUAAUAAAUGAGCCGAACACGAGCUGACUCAUUAAAGUAUCGAGCCAAAAAAUUUAGCUCGUGUUCUGCUUGUUAAUAAACGAGCUGAACACGAGUCGGCUCACGAGCUCGCCAACGAACAAUAAAUUAAAAGAAUUAGAUUGAAUAUAUAUAAAAAAUAAAUUUAUAAAAUCUUAUCCAUUAGAUUUUGAUCUAAUUANUUCUAUGUUUGAAAAUUAACUUUCAAACAUUCACUUGGGGAUAAUAUUUCAUAUUCAAUUACUAAGAAAUUGUAUAAUAUAAUUUUUCAGUUGCAAUAUUUUAUAUUUACAUAUAAUUUCGAUGCAAAAAAUUUUAAAUUAGAAACAAGUUUACGAGUUUAUUUCAUAAUCAAAUCAUACAAAUAAAUUCAAAAUUGGCUAAACUUUUAACCUUGGUUUAAGUCAGGUUCGAGUUUAAGGGGUAGACUAAAUGAUUUCAAUAAUAUAUUAUUUUUUAUUUAAAAUUGAAUGCAAUAUAUUAGUAAAGAAAAGUUAAUUUAGGAAAGGUAAUUACACAUCUUCCUUACUUGUAACGCCAAACCUUUCUAGCUAAAGAGGAUAUGUUAUAAGAUGUAAAUUUAUCAAAAUGCCCUUGUUGCAAAAAAAAAAAAUUGCCCAAUUAAGAGUUGACCGAUACCGAUGGUAUCAAAUACUGGUCAUCCUCUUUUAAAGGGUGCAUCUUGGCCGUCCAUUUAAAAAAUUUUAAUGGUUAAGAUGUUUUUGGUGUAUAGGAGCAUUGCUCACAAAUAUAUAUCCAACAAAUCUGUUCAUAAAGCUAGUGUAUUAAUUACCAAAACAUCAAUUAUUUCAUACAAUUAUGAGUUUGGAGUAUGUAAAGUUAGACUUUGUGCGCAAAGUCGCAAACAUCGCCUAUAUUGAAGAUCUCUAUAGCCAUUAAAUUUCAUAAGAAUUUUUAUUUAAUAACAAUAACAAAUCAAAUGAAAACAAAUAACAAUAAAAAAAAAAUGCAGGUAAAAAGAAAAGGUCAGGGGAAAUUUUCCUAAUGCGGAGUCAUUAUAAAUUCUCAUCACUAAUAAAUAACAGCCAAAUCAACCACAAAUAAAAGGAAACAUAAAUUACAUUUAAUUUUUAGAGAAAACUAAUCCAAAAACACAUUUAUAUUAAACCCGAAGCGAGAGAGAUGAGCCCCUAAUUUAAACAAUAGAGCCAAGGGCUUAAACCCUCGACCUAAACUAUAGACCAUUUUGAUUCGACUACCUUAUCUUUCAAAAUUUUAAUUUUAGCACCCAAUCUUUCGAUUUGUCUAAUUUAAAUCAUACGAUGGCUCUUCCAAUAUAAAAUUUAAGCUAAUUGCUUAUUUUAAUAAAUUUACAGUUAUAUGAAUUGCAUAAGAUGUAUUAAUUAAUCUAUAAAGAUAAUCGAUGUACUCAAAAUUUAAAGUUAAAGAGUAAUUAACUAGUUCAAAUCAAAUAACUUAAAAGAUUAGGGAGCAAAAUCAAGAUUAUUAAAGAUUAUCUAGCCAGAUCAAAAUCGGUGAUAGUUAAGGUAAGUUCUAUACAUUUUUACUAAAAAAUUUAUAAAUUCUUUUCAAUUUUAACUAAGGGGCUAUUCCAUAUAAAACUGCGAAAAAAAAAUUUUGGUGGACAAAAAAUUUUCGGAGGAAAAUAACUUUUACGCUCUUUAGCGUUUGGUUUGCAGGAAAAAAAAAUAGUUUUUCAUUACGAUUAUUUGGUUGAAAGGAAAAAAUAGGAAAAGAAAGAAAAAAUUAUAAAUAAAAAAUUAUUUUAUAUAUAUAUAUAUAUAUAUAUAUAUAUAUAUAUUAUUAAUAUAUAAUAAUUAUCAUAUUAUUUAUAUUAAUAUUAUAAUUUAUAUUUAUAAAUAAAAUAUAUUUAAAAUAUAUUAUACAAUAAACUAAUAUAUGAUUACAUAUAAUAGUAUAUUAUAUAUAUUUAAUACUAUACAUAAAUUUAUAAAUAAUAUUUAUAAAUAAAAUAUUAUAUAAUUAUCUAUAUAUAUAUAUGAGGUCCAUCCUCCUCACGCGUCCAUGACAUGAGCGGAUCUCGUGGACGCCGUGAUUUACAUCCGCGCGAGCGUGCCCAACGCCGCGCUUUUCGUUUUCGCUCGCUUCGAGGCGAAAACGAAAACUCCCAUUUUACGACCGAAUCUGUAAAAAAAAAUUUUCGGCGAAAAAUUUUUUACAAGCAAUCAACGGUAGAUUUUAAACUUUUCAACAUACGAAAAAAAAUAUUUCGGAGAUGGUUUUACAACGAUCAUAUGAAGUUGCAAAAAACAAGAAAGAAAAAGAGUACAGAAGAUAGCACAAAAUAUUUUAACUAAAAAUUUCUUAUUCGUUUUUUUUUUUUCUUUUUUAAGAUCUAUGAAGAAAAUUUCACUCAAGAGUCUCCUCUUAAAAAAAAAAAACAAAAAAUUCUGUCAGAAGUUGCACAAACAAAGAAAAAAAAAGAGUGCAGAAAGAUGCAAAAAAACGGGGAAAUUAAGUACAUUUUAAUGCAAAAUGACCCAAUAAAAAUUUCUCACACUGCUUAUACUCGACUACAGGAAAAGUAAGAAGAAGAUUACCUAAAGUUGAUCCAGAGAUGUGGAAGCUGCACUGAAGAGAGAAAAUUAAAGCAUGUGUAACUACUGCCAAAUGUGAGUAUUAUUUUAUGAAAAAACAUAAUGCAUGAACAAAAAUCUAAUGCAUUUUUAUAGCCAUGGAGGUAGGGGUGUAAAUGAGCCGAACACGAGCGAGCUGGGUCGGCUCGUGUUCGGCUCGUUUAAUAAACCAGCCCAACAAGAGCUGGCUCGUCGUUAAAGUAUCGAAGGCCAAAAAAUUUAGCUCGUUGUUCUGCUCGUUAAUAAAUGAGCGAACACGAGCAUGACUCAUGAGCUGGCAGCCACGAAACAGUAAAUCAAAAAGAUUUAAAAGGAUAUAUACAUAGGAAAUAAUUUUAUGAAAUCUUACUUAUUAGACUUUGAUCUAAUAAGCUGAAACUUUACGCAUAAAUAAACUUUUUUAUAAUUAUAAUUGAGUUAGACUUUUAUAUUUAGGUUAGGCUAAAAAAUAUAUUAUAUAUAUAUAAUUAAUUAUUUAUAUAUAUAAAUAUAAAUUAAAUAAAUUAUAUGAAUAUAAAAUAUAUGUAUUCGAGCUGUUAUCGAGCCGAACACGAGCGAGCUGACCCCAGCUCGUGUUCGGCUCGUUUAAAAAAUUCGACUAGUGUUCGGCUCGUUUACUAAACGAGCGAGCCGAUCUCGAGCUCAUUUCAAGCCGAACACGAGCUGGCUCACGAACAACGAGCUGGAUUGCCACCCCUACAUGGAGGUGGAAAAGAAGAAGGAAAAGUAUAGCUGGACUCCCGGUUGAAGACGUACAACCCCAUGUGGGUUGUACCACAACCCCAUGUGGGUUGUACCAGUAGCAUAGCUCAAAGAAGAAAUAUCAUACCUCUUUAGGACAAUUUCAUCUAUACCCUUCUAAAACCAUUUAAUUUCAUAAAUAUCCAACUAAAAAUUAAAAUAUCAUGUAUACCCUCCAAAUUUGAAAAACUUUCAAAAAUAACCAUACAAUCAAGUUUCCAUCCAAAUUAAAGUUAGUUACUAUUUAAAUUUCAACUUUGCCGCUCUAAUAUUUCAAAAUGAAUAAACUCUAUCUAGACUAAAAAUUUAGUAAAAUUCAAUUGAUUUUAGUUUAAAAAAAAUAUUCACUUCAAUUAAAAAUAAAUAUUUCUCCUUGGAAUAAAUUAUAGUUAAGUUUAAUUUUAUUUUGCUUCAUUGCUAAUUUAACUACAAUUUAUCCAAACAAAAAUAUUUAUUUUUAAUUAAAAUGAAUAAUUUUUUAAAAUUAAAAUUAAUUGAAUUGUACUUAGUUAAUUUUGAAAUAUAAUAGAGAAUAUUUAUGAAAUAAAAUAAUUGACUAUUGAAUACAUAAGAGGGGUAAAGUUGGAAUUUAAAUACUAAUUAACUUUAAUUUAGAUAGAAGCUUAAUGGUAGAGUUAUUUUUAAAAGUUUUUCAAAUUUGAAGAGUAUACAUUAUAUUUUAAUUUUUAGAUGAAUAUUUAUAAAAUUAGAUGGUUUAUAAGGGCACGGAGGAAAUUUUCCGUACCUUUUAUGGUUGGGGGAAAAGGGAGACCUCUUUUCAGACCUCAAAAGUUAUUGCCUUUGCACCUUUCUUGGAAUUAGCUGCCGACGAAGCUACCCACGAAGCUUCCGACGAAGCUGCAAUCCUGUUGAGCACAUGAAGCACUGCAUGUUCGGCCAUGCUGCCUAGCUCUUCUGUUGCGAUGUUAUAUUGUUACAGCAGCAAUCCAAUCCUGAAAUUAUUUGAACGGCAAUAGUAGGUAGGAUAAAGGAGCAGGAUGAGACAUAUGCAGCUGAUAUUGAAACAUCCGUCGAAUAUAAUUGCUAAGAACGUCGUUCUCUAGAAGCUUAAGUUUUAGAGAAAAAGGGUCGUUUCGUUAUGUUUAACUUGGUAUCAAAGGUAUGACGUUUUGAGUUCGAAUCCUGUCAAACUUCUUGCAUUAUUAAUUUUCUCUUUAAAAAUAUGAUUUAAUUACCAAUCUGAAGUAUGAGAUGAAUCUUAACUGAGCACUGAAAGAUAUUAGUCUCGACUGAGUCACGCUCUGAAUGUUAGGGUGGGUGCUCGAGAGCCUCACGGAAAUGUCAGGCUUAAGGGGGAGAGGAAUGUGACAAGGGUGCUCGAGCCUAACGGGAAUGUCAGGACUUAAAAAAAGAAAGAAUGUGACACCGCCGGAAUUUAGAAUAGUCAUAUAUAAAAGAUAUAAUAGGGCUAAACCUAUCAACACGACUAGCAUUUUGGCGGCGGAGGUCCUGAGCUCGAGUCCCGUCACACUCUCAGCAUUAUUAAUUUCCUCUUUAAGAAUAUCAUUUUCUAACAGCUUAAGCUUUCAGAGAAUAAUAGUUUUUUUAUUUAUUUUAUUUAGAAAUAAAUUUAACUAGAAAUGUGAAUCAACUAGGAUUCGAACUUGGGAUCUUGGAUACCAAUCACAAAGCCCUUUGUCGCUUGCGCUAGGAAUGGUCAGUUUAAACCUUGGGCACUAACUUGAUACACUUUAAAUCACAGGAUACUAAAGUGAAAAAAUGAGGAGCCACAUAAGUGGUGUUUUUUUGAGUGGUGUAUUCAUAUAUUUUAAUAUGACUAAUAAUUCAAUGAUUUAUUUGAAAUUGCAUGGAGAUUACGUUAUAUGCUGUUGAAAAAGUGAAAUAAGAAAUAAUCCGUUUAUUUUUGUAAAUAAUAUUUGCCACCGUAAGGCAAAUAAUUGGAUGACCUGGCUAGCUAUUUACAUGUGAUAUAUAUAACUAUAAUUACGUAUUUUUAAAUGUUUUGUGACUAUUUGAUAUCCAUAUAAAAUAUCAAAAUAUUAUUAUUUUUCUUUAUGAUUUUUUUUAGACAGGUUAUUCAAAGUAUGUGAAUUUCAUAUGAUAAUUUAUCAUUUAUAUUCAAAGUAUGUGAAGCCUUGGCAACAGAGUUGUCUAUUGCUGAAUAAACGAUAAGAAACAAAUUAAAAGUGGCUAGUUACUUGAAUAGAUGUAUACGGACUUCGCUAUUAAAAAUAUCCGUCUCAAUAUAGAUGUGUUGGUCGUGAUUCGUGAACACAUUAUACUACAGCCAAUAUCAGUUAUUCAAAAGAAUAAACAGUACUUUUGCAUGGUCCACUGGGCCUUAAAGCUACUCGUAGAGUCACUUACCAGGGUUUUUUUUUUUUUUUUUUUAGAGAUAGGUAGCACGCUACCCGUUUCGUUUAUUUCAUUUAGAAAUAAAAUUACUUAAAAAUAUGAAUCAACUAGAAUUCGAACUUGGAUCUCGAAUACCAACCACCAAGUUCUUUGCCACUUGCUCUAGGGACGGUUGGGGUCACUUACCAGGGUUGAGCUUCCAUGUUGACGGUCCAAGGGAGGUUGCAUCUAUAUGCUGUUUUGGGAUAACCACGUGGAGGUUCGAAUUAUAAACCACCAGUCGUUGGAUAUCUUUGAGUUUGGUUGGUCUAUUCCAACCUUGAUGGGUAGGAUACUCUGCGCUAGCUUGUUGAACACUUUGGUUUGGAUUUGGUUGACUUGCCUAAUAUAAAAUUCUAUGCUAGCCUAUCCCCAUCUGCCCGUAUAGAGUGCAGUUUACAUAUAUUAACACAAAGACCUUCUUCAAUAUAUGUAGUUUGUAGAGACUGUAGUUGCAUGUUAUUAUUUACAUGAUUUGUCUAACUUUUCUGUAAUGUAUUUUAGACACUUGAGAUGCUAGAAAAGAAGGAGAAAGUCCUCCUGAAGAAAGCAGCUGCUGAGGUUGAGAGGGCCAAGGAGUUCACCAGAGCAAAGAACAAAAGGGGUAUGCCAGCCGCGCCCCCCCUUUUCUUUUCUUUUUUUUUCCGUAAAGAAACCAAUGCAUUUUGUUUUUCAAUCUUGUAGCAUUUGCCUGUGUAACGGAUAUAUUAUUGUUCAUAACAUGUCUAAAUGUACUUUGCCAUGACUAUAUAUUAGCUGUGCUUUAACUUUGAAAAUAAGUAGCAGUAGUACUAGUCGUUUUUUCAUUUUUAAUAUGUACUUCUUGUCUGAGCUUUUUUUAUUUUUGAAUAUUAGCUGCCAUACAAUGCUUGAAGAGGAAGAGACUUUACGAGCAGUAAAUUGAACAGCUUGGAAAUUUCCAGUUAAGAAUUCAUGAUCAGGUACAGAGAGAAAUUAAUAAACAUACUAUUUCCUUCUGCAUUUAUGCCAUUAACUUCUUUAAUCUUUCAAUGAGAACUUAUCAUUGAUUAUCUGGAACAGAUGAUAAUGCUGAAAGGUGCAAAAACCACAACGGAGACUGUUGAUGCAUUGAGAACAGGAGCUACUGUAAUGAAGGCUAUGCAGAAAGCCACGUGAGUAGCUACUGCAAACUUGUCGAGUUCUUUGAAUUUUGGCAAUGUCUUGAAGUUACGUGUCUUUAUUAGCUGUCGUGUCUGCCUUAUACUUUAUUUGCUGAACCGUCAAAUCUGUACGAAAUUUUUUGGUCAAAAAUUACAUAUGUACCCACCAAGACUCCAAGUACAUGUAUUCCAUAGAUGCCCUCGAAAAGUGGAAAUACUAUAAAUGCCCAUUUAUAUGUGAAAAUUCUUGAAAAUGCCCUUGAAAAUGCACUUGAUGAUUUUCAUAAAUGCCCUUUGGAAAGGUUUUUAUUUGUCUUUAUGUAUCUUUACUGGGUCUUCUUGAUAUUUCAGUUCUUAAAUAUGCUUGACAUAUUUACAUACAUAUAUCUCUGUGUAUCUAAUUGCAAAGUAAAGCCUUGCUGAAUCUAAAUUUUCGUAUGUAGCCUUCAAAAAUUUAACUAUCUUUACACCCUACUACGUAUGAGAAAGCCCCUAUUUAAAAGACCUUUUCUUAUACAGAACCAACUUCUUGCCAUUGUUUAGAUGUCUCCCCAACUUAAGUUUGUUUUUGCACGAAACUGCUGUUUCGAAGAAUUUCUACAUAUAUACUCCAAAAUUCAGGUUUUACAGGAGUAUAUGUGGAAACAGAUGAUUUUACAGGGAUAUAUUAGAAGCUUAUUAAUUUGCAUGUGAGGAUCCCUUUAGUUUGGGUUUUGUUAGAAUUUGGUUAGAUUUGUAGUUAAAUACUAUUUGAAUAAGAAUUAAUAUUUAAAUCUGUUUGAGAUAAAUUAAGAUUUAAAUAUUAAUUAGAACAUAAACCUAACUAGAUUAGGAUUAAUAUUUAAAUCUAUUAGAGAUUGAUUAAGAUAGAUUUAGAUAUUAAUUAAAGUAUGAAUCCUAAAUAUAUUAGGAUUGGGGUACGUUUUAAGUUGAGUAUUAUAAAUAGGCAUUGUGGCUCUCUUAAAAAUCCGAUUUGACGUUUUCGUUGCGGAAUCCCAACAAUCGAUACCGGAUCCACAGCAGUCGGUAUCGGAGCAGGUUGCGGAUUCACGAGAUCCGGUACCGGGGCGAGUACCGGAUUCCCAACAAGUGGUAUCAGAGCCGAAGGUUACCGAUCUGCGGGAGAGAUCGACGGAGAUGGCCACGAAAUUCGAAAUCGAGAAGUUCGACGGCAAGAACAAUUUCGGAUUAUGGCAAAUUAAAGCACGAGCAAUCCUCGUACAGCAAAAGUUAGACGAGACGUUGAACGGGAAGGAGGCAAAGCUAGCGGACGUCACGGAUGCUGCAUGGACUAAGAUGGAGCGGAAGGUGCUGAGUACGCUUCAUCUAUCAUUAGCAGAUGAUGUUCUUUACAAUGUAGCCGGCGAGACGACACCGGCGAAAUUGUGGAAGAAAUUGGAAGAUCUGUACAUGACCAAAUCCCUGACGAACAGAUUGUAUCUGAAGCAGCGACUGUUUAUGUUGCGGAUGCAAGAAGCGGCGAGCCUACAUGAUCAUCUAAAUGAGUUCAACAAGAUGGUGGUCCAGUUGACCAGUAUCGGAGUCAAUCUGGAUGACGAGGACAAGGCGCUGAUUUUACUAUCUUCGCUAUCGACGACAUAUGAGCAUCUGGUGACUACGUUGCUUUAUGGCAAGGAGACCAUAAGCGUGGAGGUGGUCACGGCGGCGCUUCUCUCGAACGAGAUGCGGAAGAUGACUCAGGAGUCUAGCACGUAGAGCCGGGAUACUACUUUGGUGGUGAGAGCGAAGAAGGAGGUGAAAAUAUCGGCGACCGGAGAUAGACAGAAGAAGACGUUAUCUGAGGUAGAAUGCUUUUACAGUCACAGGAAGGGGCAUAUCAAGCGCAAUUGUCGAAAAUUUCAGGAUGAUCUGAAGGAGUUAAAGCGACAGAAGGAGCAAACUGUCGUGAACCAGGACGAGACGGUAUCAGCGACGGCGCAGACAGCAGAGUCGGAGAUGAUCGAUUCUGAUGUGCUGUAUGCGGCGACCGGAGGUGCGAAAAUUUCGGACGAUACGUGGGUGCUCAAUUCGGCGUGUUCUUUUCACGUAUGCCCGGAGAAGGAGUCUUUUGCCACCUAUAAGGUGAUCAAAGGUGGAAAUGCGCUGAUAGGGAACGGGACAGCGUGCAAAGUAUUGGGAGUCGGCAUGGUGAAAAUCCGAAUGCACGAUGGGGUCGUGAGGACGCUGACAGGUGUGUGGCACGUUCCUGGAUUGAAGCGGAAUUUGAUCUCAUUAGACGCAUUGGACUCGAAGGGUUGCGAUUUUUCAGCUUCAGGUGGAGCUAUGAGCGUCCGAAAACGAGAUCGAGUCGUAUGCGAGGCGAACAAGCGUGGGAACUUAUACGUUCUGAACUGGAGCACAGCCAGAACGGGAGCAAAGACGGUUUGGGUUCCAAAAGUUCGCGGAUGUGCAGUUGCUCGAGACGGAGCGACGGAUGCGGCGACAUCGAGCGGAGGAGACAAGCUCAAGGUGGAGCUUACAUGGUGAGCUCAACGUAGCGGUUGAAAAUUACAAAUCAAACCAAGGUGGAGAAUGUUAGGAUUUGGUUAGAUUUGUAGUUAAAUCCUAUUUGGAUAAUAAUUAAUAUUUAAAUCUGUUUGAGAUAAAUUAAGAUUUAAAUAUUAAUUAGAGGAUAAACCUAACUAGAUUAGAAUUAAUAUUUAAAUCUAUUACAGAUUGAUUAAGAUAGAUUUAGAUACUAAUUAAAGUAUGAAUCCUAAAUACAUUAGGAUUGGGGUACGUUUUAAUUUGAGCAUUAUAAAUAGGCAUUAUGGCUCUCUUUUUUGGGUGUAGUACGGUUGGAACCAUUGGGGUGUCGUACCAGAGAGAGAAAAAGAGAGAGAGAGAGUUAUUUUAGUGCACCUUGUGCACGGGUGCACGCGGAGAAGUCUUCUUUGUGGGUUUAUAGAAGACGAGAGAAGGGUAAAAGAGAUUCAAGAAGGAGGGCUCGGGUUGUAACUACUCUGUGCAGAAGAGGAGUCAGGUGUAAUCUUCUCUUAUUUAAUGAAUCUUAUUUUACCUGUAUAUUUUUCUCUUUUAUGAUUGUAUCAGCUUUUCCCGAGGAGACGGGUUUAUGGUAAAAAUCCGAUUCGACGUUUCCGUUGUGGAAUCCCAACAAUCGAUACCGGAUCCACAGCAGUCGGUAUCGGAGCAGAUUGCGGAUUCACGAGAUUCUGUACCGGGGCGAGUAUGGGAUUCCCAACAGGUUUGAGUAAUGAUACCUGCUAAUAUUUCCCUUUUUCUUCUUUUGCAGAAAUAUUGAUGAUGUUGACAAGACAAUGGAUGAAAUAAAUGAACAAACAGAGAACAUGAAACAAAUACAGGAAGCAUUAUCGGCGCCUAUCGGAAUUGCUGCUGAUUUUGAUGAGGUAUUGCUGUUUAUUUUUUUCUUUCAAAUGACUUAACCGCUUGCUCUUCUUUCUUUCUUUGGCAUAUUGAUUACCUGUUAAUGCUUUCCAUAAUUGGCAGGAUGAAUUGGAAGCAGAACUUGAAGAGCUUGAGGGAGCAGAGUUGGAGGAACAGCUUCUCCAACCAGCUACGACUGCUCCAGUUGCUCCAGUACAUGUGCCAGCUGGUAAGCAACCGGCUCGGGCCACUCCUCAGAAAACUACUGCAACUACAGCUGAAGAGGAUGAACUCGCGGCGUUACAAGCAGAAAUGGCAAUGUAGACAGGUACGGGAUCUUUAAAUUGUAGAAUUACUGCUAUAGUUUCUUAUGAAACUAAUGUUGUAUCAACUAGUAUAACAAACUAUUGACUUUUCGCAAAAAUUACUUUUGUCAUUGAGUUCUGUAAGAAUAAUGAGCUUUCUAUUUACCAAAUCCUCUAUCAUGCAUCAUGAAUGUUCGUGAACUGCCUGCUGCUAUCAUGAAAGUAGGGUUAGUUUGGAAGCUGCUGGUGUAAAUUUAGCGUGUACUCCAAUUUCGUUCUUAGUACUUUAACCAUGGCCAUUUAGUCCCUGCUGGUGUACUUAGAUUUCGUUCUCAUAAUUUUAACUGCGACCAUUUAGUCCCUAUUGGUUGACUCCGCAUUCAUUUUCAUCUUCGGAGUUUGCAUUUUGCUAAGCAAAGUCUAAUGAUGGUGCUGACUUGGCGUCUAGUUUAGCCAAUAUACACUGAAAGGAUCUAAUUGCCAUGCAAAACAGACUUUGGGAACUAUGUCAAAAAAAAAAAAAGAGAAAGAGAGAGAAGAGAGAGAAAAAGGAAUCCUAUAAUUAAUCCAAGAAUCCAUCAUUCUUUUCACAGUAUCAUGUAGCAUAAACAACUUUUAAUCAGAUAUUUCACAAAUGCUGUUUUAACAUAAUUACAAGUUUUAUAUUCUGAUAGUCUCUGCUAAUUUUUAUAUUAUACCACCUUGAUGCUGAGGACAUUAAUCCCUUUAUUCAUUUGUUUGCGCUCCUUGGUUUCUGAACCAUUGACAUUAAUAUUUUUUAUCCUAUGUUUUAAUGAUUAUAUAUAUUGGUUAAAUUCUGCAGGACUUUGAUGCACAAGUGAGACCAAAUAAUGUGAAAAUUAUUGGUGAUACUUAAAUCUGGUGUUGAGAUCUCUACAUUGAUCAAGUCGAGUAUAUGUGUGUGUGUGUGUGUGUGUACAUCCUAGGGGGGAUAUUUAUUUAUGAUGAUAAGAACCUGCCUCACUGAUUAACUUCGUGUGUAAUGAUAGUUCCUUUGGGUUUUGUUUGUUAUCCAUGAUUGGAUUGGAUAGAACAAGACGUUAUUUGGAGGUGUCAGGAGUUGCUGAGAGGAAUCCGAUCGGAUUAAAUAUCGUUCUCUUUGGAUGGGAUUGUUGAAUUCCACCACCUGAGAGGGAACAAAAACUUUAUGUGGAUGGUCCCCACAGCGAGACCAUCAAAUCCACUUUUCGUCCAUCAAGUAAAAAUGCGCGAAUCUCAUAGCGACGAAAAUGGUGGAUUUGAUGUUCUCAUCCUAGGGCCUUAUCCUUGCAGAACUUUUGUUCCUUUGGAGGUAAGAGAUAAAAUGGGAUUUCAUUCCAAAACAUUUGGUUGUAUACCACAUCAGCUCCGCUCCCUAUUCGUCGUGAUAUUCGACACCUUUGAGUCAGUAAAUCCUUUCUCUCUUUUGAUAUUUCCUAGUCAUUUUAUUCUAUUCAAUCCAAUUCAGAAUAUUAAACAAGUCUUGGCAUGUUAUAUUUUUGUCCUCGAUCUUAUGCAAACUUAACUGCUUUGCUCAUUGAUAUCUGGUACACAUGAAUGUGAAGCCAUGUUUCCAUGAAAACCUACUAGCCCAAAUAUGACCAUUCUGUUGCUAAUGAGCUUUAAACUCGAAGUAAUUUUACGUGCACUUAAGUCCUUUUUUUUGUAAAAAUCUUGUAUGUAGGUUGGUCUGAACAAGAAUUAUGGGUGAAUAAUAAUUUACAUGAAACUCGCGGAUGAAUAAGGUUGUUCGCCUGGUCGUCCCUAAAUUCUUUCGAUAUUGUUUACAAGGUUUUCUAAACUUGCGAUUUGCGUUCUAAUCUCUUCAAUCAUUAUGAGUUUCGGCGUGUAUGAUGUAGAAGAUUUUCAAUAAUUACUAAAGGAAUCAUUUGAGGUUUUUUUAAUAAAAAAAAAAGGAAAAGAAGAUCUCUAAGAUGAACCUCAUAUGGAGGGACGCAAACGCAGCAGAUCCUGGGGCGGGAGGAGUCCCCUACCUUUUGCUCCGUUUUUUUGGCGGGUUGGGACUGAUUCGAAACAAAUUAAUUUUUAUCUUAUUUUUUAUUACUACUUAUUGCUCCAUUCGAAAAUCGAAGGAAGGGUUUUUCAUCUCUUACUCAAUCUCUCACUCAAUAUUCUUAGCGGAUCGGGGCGGAUUGAGAGCAGAUUAUUGUUUUUCUUUAAUUUUGGCCCUCACCGCCGGAAGCUCCACCUAUCCGGAUCCAUUCUCAUCCUACCCAUAUGAACCUCCAUACGUACUCUUUUACCCUUUAGGGCUUGUUUGGUUCGAGAUACGAAUUGGAAUGGAUAAUGGAAUGGGAAUGAAUUAGAAUGACAAUUGGAUUGUCCCACUCUCUCAAGACGUUUGGUUUAUUUCUGGAUUGAAAAUCGAAAUGAAUUAUUUCUAUUUCACUGUUUGGUUGAUACAAAAUAAAAAAAUAAUAGAAUAACAUAAUACUAAUUUUACUUUUAAAUAUAAUUUUUUAAAACUAUCUAAAAUUUAUAAAAAAAAAAUUAAUACUACUCUCAAGUUAGAGCUAUGCCAAAAAAAAGAAAUUUAUUUUAAAAAUUUUUAUGCAAGAAAUUACAAAAAAAUGCAUAAUUUUUUUUGAAUAAAAUUAUUAUAAAAAAUAAUAUAUCACGGUUUUUUUAAUGAUGAGAAAAGAGGGAAGAGAUCGGUACAGGGAGAGAAAGGAUGAAUAAGAAAGAGAAACAUUGGGCUGGAUCUGUGGAAGAGGUGAAUGUGGGCUUGGGAUUGAAACUUCAAUCCAGGCUUAGAGACCGGAAUUAAUUUAUAAGCUAAUGGGUCAUUCCCAUUCCGAUCCGGAAUGGAAGUCCCAAACCGAUUACUGUGAACCAAACAAAAUUAGCAGGAUUUGAUCAAACCGAUUUUCAUUCCGGAUCCAAAAUGUACUAACCAAACAUGCCCUAAAAGUAGUGUGCUAAAUACAGCAUCAAGAUUAGCAGAUAUGCAGGGAAAAGAGGGAAAAAAAAAGGAGAAAGAAAGAAAAAGUCACACGAAUUGAAUUUCAGCCACACGUGUUAAGAAAGAUAAUGCAGAACCAAAAUAAAUUUUAAUUCUCAAAAACUUUUUAUGCAGAAGGCCUUAUCUUAUUUAUAUAAAAUAAGUCUUAAUUUCACUCCUUAAAUCCCUCGAUUUUAAGAAUUUUUCUAAUGCAAGCACCAAAAAUUAAAACAAAAUAGAAAAAAUUUCUAAUACUUGAUGGAAACAAGUUAGUAUCAAUUCCCUCUUUGGUAUUACCCUGCAGUUUGAUAAGAUAAGGCUACAUAUAUUUACAGACUCCAUAUUGGAGCCAGAGUCAAAAGAGUUCGAGUACCAUAAUUUCUUUUAUUCAUUUGACAUGCAAAAAUAAAAAAAAAAGGAAAAAAAAAAUCUAAUUCCAACCUCAGGACGAAAAGAAAUCUAGUGGGAAGAAAUAAGAAUAAAUAUAAAUGUUUGGAGAUGAUAAAUUUGAUGACGAGAAGAAUUAGAUAGGCUAAAUUGCACUAUUAGUUCUCAAACUAUCAACUGUGUUACAUUUUGGUACUUGAACUUUAAAUUGUAGAAAUUUUUUUGUUCAAACAUCCUAGAAUGUCGCAACCAAAUACUUCAAUACAAUUUAAUUUACUAAAUAAUGAUGUCUCGUUGAUGUGACGGUGAUACAGUAUUACUAUAGUUGAUGAAAUAUAUGAAUAAUUAAGAUGUAUCAUGUAACAUUAUCAUCACGCUAGCGACACAUUAUUAUUCAACCAACAGAAGUACAGUCACUAUAGCACUUGAUUGCAGCUAAAUAGAAAUUAGGUACCAAAAAUUAUAACAAAUUCAAAUUUGAGGACCAAAAUGUCACAGGUUGCAUAGUUUGAGGACCGAAAGUGCAAUGUAGCCAAUGAGAUAAUAUUUGGAUUAAUUAGAGUAUUAGUAGUGCGUAGGGGUGGAAACGAGCCGAGCUCGAGCGAGCUUAGCUCGGCUCAAAUUCGGCUUGAAAUUAAUUUCGAGCUUAAAUUUAAGCUCAAGCUUGGAUUGAAAUUAAUUCGAGCCAAGCUCGAGCGAGCCUGAUUUCUUGUCGAGCGAGCUCGAGCCCUAAACGAGCCGCUUGAAAUUCUCAACAUUAUACGAUCAAUAGUUUAAUUUGUAUAGAACAUUAUCUAUAAUUUAAUACAAAAAUAUGUCUAAUAGUUCAAAGUACAAAAUAAUUAUAUGAAAUAUAGUAUUAUAAUAUGAAAAAAAAAUAAUUUAUGAGUUGAAUAUCUAAUUUUUUUAGCCUCACAUGCCUUUUCUUCCGCCUUCAAUCUCUAUAUUAUUUAUUUUCAUUUAUGCAGUCAAAAAUAAAUAAAUUAUAUAGAUAAAUAUUGGAUUAAACUAUCCAAUCAUAUAUAACUAAAAUUAAAAUUUUAUAUGAAUAAUAAUUUUUUACUUUAAAAAUAUUCUGUAUAUUUUCUCAAGCAUACAAUUAAUAGCAAGAUAGGCAACAGCGGGCAUAUGAUGUUACUUGGUAACUUAGAAGGCUUCCGGCUUGGCCACUUUGGGUGAGAGACAGAAAAAGAGAAAGAGAAAAACAUAUUGAAAAUUUAGAGCUUUGUAAAAGAAAGAAAUAAAUAAAGAAAAAAUAUAUAAAUUUAGUAAAAUUUUGCUCUUUUAUUUGUCUAUUGGGUUUGUUUUUAUGAGCCAAUAACAUUGGCCCAAUUUUAACUAAACUUAAAUUAUUCACUCAGCGUAUAUAUAAUUAAAAUAUAUUAUAUUUAUAUAUUUUUUAAUAUAUAUAUAUAUAUAUAUAGUUGGAUUGGGCUACAAUUAGUAGCAAAAUCUCAUUGUUGCUACCAGUUUUUUAGCCUUUUGAUCAACUCUUUUCAUUAUUUCUAACCACUGGAUUAAAUACUAUAACCCAGUGGGGACCACUCAAACCUAGGGGGAUCACUCAACUCUAACCGACUAAUAUCAUCCUGACCCUAUAAUUUUUCAUCCAAGAGUUAACAACUUGAUAGUAAAAAGAACGUUUUACUAUUAAUAGUAUUCCAGCCUAAUUCUCUCUCUCUCUAUAUAUAUAUAGUGUAGAACUACUAUGCUUGAAAAUAUAGAGGAUUUGAUAUUUUUGAAUUUUUGACCCUUUGAUUAAAAAUUGUAUGGUUGAGAUGAUUGCGGUCUUCCCUAGGAUUAAAUAAUACUCUUAGGAUUGAGUGGUCCCUACAAGGUAAUAAUAAUAUUAAUCCAAAGCUAAGAAACGAUUAAAGGGAUUGAUCUAAGAAUCAAAAAAUCGAAAACACCAGAUCUCUAUACUUUCGAUCAGCAAUAGCUCUACUAUAUAUAUAUAUAUAUUAUAUUAUAUAUAUAUAUUUCGAGCUUUUCGAGCUUUUCGAGCCUAAUUCGAACGAGCGGUAAUACUCAAGCUCGGCUGAAAUGAAUUUCGAGUCUUUUUUUUUGUUCAAGCUCGGCUCAUUUAAUUUCGAGUCGAGCUCGAGCGAGCCAAAAUAUCGAGUCGAAGCGAGUCGAAGCGAGCCGGCUCGCUCAUUUGCCAGCCUAGUAUGUGGUGGAUGCAACAAGAUAAAAAACAAAUCAAGAUAUUGACAAAUAUUCUGGAAAUUCAAUGUGUACAGUAUUACACAUAAAAAUUGAAUCCAAAAGUUUUUUUUUCGAUCAUCCAAUGCUUAUACUACAUAUUUUUGACAUAACAAAUAUCGCAAAUGCGCAAAUUGAAAUCCUUCCAUGUAUAUGUUGAAUAAUAAUAAUAAGAAAAUAAUGUGCAAAACUUACCUGAAAUAGGACUAUUUUUGAUCGGCUAUCCAACCUUUCUAAAAUUUUAAUUAUUAUUAUCCAAUCUUUCAAUUUGUAUGAUUUGAUCAGUCAAAUAUUUUGAGCUCAAAGUUUAAGCCGAUAUUUACUUUUAAAAUUACUUUUAUAGAAUAUGAGGCGUGUGGAUGAAAGAUUGAAAUUAACCUCUUACAAGUUCUAUUAUGAAGAGCUAAAAAAAACUAAGAAAAAAAACUAUAUACAUGAUAAAAUUAGUAGUAGCGCUCAUAUUAUAUAUGAACAACUGGUCCCACGUUGAACUUUCAGAAAUACAAAACAUAUUGAGACCCGAUUGUUUACAAAUCAUUUCGUAUAAGUUCGAUAUUGAACAUCGUCGUCUUUCUGCAUUAGACUGUGUGGGGAUAAUGUUGUAACCUUGCUUCCUGGUACCUAUAUAAUUGCGAGCUCUCCUAUGAUGACUCCUUGUAGGCUAAUGCUGAGAUACAUGCAUGCAGCGAUGCAGGUCACGACACCGCCAGGAUGCACGAUUAUUCCAGGCCUGGUUUUUUAUUUCGUAUUUAGAUAAUAAUUUUUCUGUUGCCGUGUAUGUUUAAUUCGUUUGGGAUAUAUAUAGUGCUAUAUUAUGGUGCCUAUGCGAACAUCUUUAUCAGUUUUCAAUAUUAAAGACGCGAUUUAUUUUGAUUUUGAUCUCUUAUUCUUUGGGUGAAACGAGCGGCGUCGGACGACUUAGCUCGGUCAAAUUUACGCUUGAAAUUGAAUUUCGAGCUUAAUUUAGCUCAAGACUUGGAUUGAAUUAUAUUCGGAGCCGAAGCUUUGACGAGCCUGAUUCAGUCGGCAGCCUCGAGCCCUAACGAGGCCUUGAAAUUUCAAAUGUAUACGAUCAUAGUUUAAUUUGUAUAGAACAUUAUCUAAUUUAAUGUACAAAAUAUGUCUAUAUGUUCAAGCUUACAAAAUAAUUAUAGAAAUAUAGUAGUAUAAUUAAUAUGAAAAAAAAUAAUUUAUGAGUUGAAUUAUCUAAUUUUUUAGCUCCAUUGUCACUUUUUCCGCCUUCAUCUCUUAUUUAUUUAUGUUCUUUAUGCCAGUCAAAAUAAAUAAGUUAUAAUAAUAUUGUUGUAAAUCUAUCCAUAUCAUAUAUAAUAAUUAAAAUUUUAUAUAAAAAUAAUUGUUAUUACGUUAAAAUAUGUUAUUGUAUGUUUCUCAAGCAUACAUUAUAGCAAGGUAGGCAAGAAGGGAUAGAUGUAUGAUGGUAACUUAAAGCACUUUGAGUGUGAGAAGGAAAAUAGGAAAGAAAAACAUAUUUGAAAAUUUAGAGCUUUGUAAAGAAAGAAGAUAAUAAAGAAAAUAAUAUAAUUUGUAAAUUUUGCGUCUUUUAUUUGUUUUAUUGGUUUGUUGUUUAUGAGCCAAUAACAUUUGGCAAUUUUUAACUAAACUUAAAUAUUCACUCAGCGCUUUAUAUAAUUAAAAUAUUUAUAUGUUCUAUUAUAUUUUUAGAAUAUUACUAAUAUAUAUACUUAGUUGGAUUGGGCUACAAUUGAUGUAGCAAAAUCUCUUGUUGUACCGUUUUUUAGCUUUUUGAUCAACUCUUUUAUUUAUUUCUAACCAUGGAUUGAUCUAUUACUUCCAAGUUGAUUUUGAAAGGCAGUAAUUUUCAGCCAAAGCGCAGCACUCAAACUUAGCGGGUAAAUUAAUACCAAUUUAAAAAACGCGAUAACUAAUCUAUUCACUCUUGUAACUGUGAACUAUCAUUUUAUCACCAUUAUUUGAGAAAAGUAUUGUCUCUAAGAAGAGUAGCGUUUUUUUAAAUCAUUAUGUAUUCAGUGGGAAAUUUCUCGCUCUCUUCUGAACGAUUAUUUGAUUGUCGAAAUAUAUAUAUAGUGUAGAAAUUGCUUAGCUAUAAAAUAUAGAGAGACUCUCGAUAAUUAAUUAGUAGACUUUUGACGUAUGAGAUUAAACAAUUGUAUGCUUUGAGUGCUUGGGUCUUCUCGAAUUAGGAAUCAUAAAUAGUGACUGAUUUAGCAUUGUAAUGUGUGUAUCUUUGUAAAGAGUCAAUCAUGUGUAUUAAUCUCUCAAAAUUAAAGUUAAGAAAUGACGUAUGAUUUAAGGCGCUAGUUGUAUUUAAUAGCUAGAUACAAAAAAUUAGAAGAAACACAUUUGAUCUCGUCUAUGAUUUAAGUGCAGAUUUGCAUGAGAUUAGCCUCAUACCUUGCCUGAGACGUCCGGAUCGACUGUAAACAAUACUACAUAACUACUAUGCCUAAUAUGCCUAUAUGCCCCUAUAGCGUUUGAUUACUUCUAAUAUAUUAUUAUAUGCCCCCUAAUAUAUGAUAUCUCUAGCAUUAAUUCAAAGUUUCAUUCGCAGCCAUUUAACGAGACGGUAUUAUUAUCAAGUCUCGGCUUGAAAUGAAUUUCGAGUCUUUUUUUUUGUUCAAGCUCGGCUCAUUUAAUUUCGAGUCGAGCUCGAGCGAGCCAAAUAUCGAGUCGAACGCGAGUCGAACGCGAGCCGGCUCGCUCAUUUGCCAGCCCUACAUAAGAGGGAUAAAGUUGGAAUUUAAAUACUAAUUAACUUUAAUUUAGAUAGAAAUUUGAUGGUAGGGUUAUUUUUGAAAGUUUUUCAAAUUUGGGGGCUAUACAUGAUAUUUUAAUUUUGAGUAAUGCUUCUAUACUUCUUUUUUUUUGGUUACCGUUCAUUCACGCGUAUUCAACGCCUCAGAUUUAGUUUUUUUAAAAUUGUGACCUGCAAUAGCAGGUCACUUUGGGAGAGGUACCGGUUACCAGGUACCUCAAAAAAAGAUAUUUUUAUUUUUUAAUACAUGAGCAAUUUAGUCAUUUUAUCUACUAUAUUUUCAAAAUUUUUAUUUUUUCUCUUUGUUUUCUUUUUCUCUCUCUAUCUUUCCUUUCAUAAUUGGGCAUUUCAUAUAAGAAAAAUUUCAAAUGAUUUGACGAUAUGAUCAUUUAAUUUAAACUUUAAAUAAUAAUAUGAAAUUCCUCUAAUUUAAAUUUCACUUUUAAAUUUAAAAUUUAAUAUUAUAUUCAAAUUUAUAUUUUAAAAAUUUAAGUUUCAUAUAAAUAUUUUGAAAUAUGGUAAACAAAAAUAAUUAUUCGAAUUCUAGUCUUCUGGUUUAGGUUUGGUUUUGGGUUUCAAAAAAUUGGUCAGUUUUGAAUUUGAAUAUGGAAUUUUGAAAUCCAUCGAGUUCGGAAAUAAGUUUUGUGGUUGUUAGUCAUAUUCGAAUUCAAAUUCCUAACUAUUUUUUUUCUCACCAAUAAUUCUAAUCUUUUUAAUUUAUAUGUAUAAAAUUAUAUUUAAAAUAUUUAUUAGCUCUAACAGUUAAAUUAUCAUUCUGUUUAAAAUAUUUAUUAUCUUUACCGAUUCCAAAUUGUUCUUAAUGUUAUUCGGUUUAAUAGGUUAAAAUCAGAUUCUUGAUAGAAUAGGUCAAAGUCUGAUCAGUCAAAUCAAUCGGUUCAAUCUAGUUUUUAAAUCAUUGAAUUUAAAAUUUAAAUAGUAAUAUGAAAUUUCUCUAGAGAANAAAUCUAGUUGUAGAAAUCUUACUCUCUAAGUUUUUUAUGCAUUACGUUUUAAACUGGUGCGAAUAAACUGUAUUUUAAAUCUUGGUAGAAAUUUAGUUUUUAAAUAGUAAUAUGAAAUUCCUCUAAUUUAAAUUUCACUUUUAAAUUUUAAGUAUUUAAUUUUUAAAAUUUAAAUUCAUCGUAUUUAGAAAUAAAACUAUUUCUAAAAUUUUUAUAAUUUAAAUUAAUGCAUAAUUUGAGAAACACUAAAACAUUUAAAGUAGAUUCCUAAAUUAAUGCCUAAUAAUUGCAUAAAUUUGGUUAAUCAAUUAAUUUCCUAAAUUAGUGCUAAUUAAUGCAUAAAUUUAGGAACUCAAUUAAAAGUUUCUUUAAAUAUUGUAUUAUUUAAUGACCAAACUAAUGUUGAAUAAAAUAAUCAUUUUACCUGCUAAGUAUUAAAGUUAUAUUUUUACCCUCUAUUAAUCAACGGUUAAGAUCUUUUUUAUUUUUUUUAAAAAAAGUACCGAAUCAUUUCUCUUUAAUUUUUAGAUGAAUAUUUAUGAAAUUAGAUGGUUUAUAAGGGUAUGGUCGUAUGGAGAAAAUUUUCCCCACCUAUUAU
rnacentral:lncRNA from 1 species